AUGUGCACAAUUUUCUAAGAAAGAAGUUGGGAGAUGAAGUCAUAGUCCUAUAUUAUCUGUCAUAUCAGGUUAUUGGAGACUAUUCUUCUAGAUUGUAUUUUCUUUCUGAUCUAAUAGGAUCCUUUUGAUAAGCAUGUCAGAAGCUUGCAGACAUUUAGAAAGAAAACGGGAAAGAAAGACAAGUAGUAUAUUGCUAUCAUAAACUAGAACACUGAGCCCAUCUCUACGAGUAUGCUGGUGAAAUCCAUCCAGUUUCCAGGUUCUAGACCCCCAGGGGAUGUUGUUUUUUUUUUUCAAUGCAUGUACAUGGUUGCAUAUGUUUGCACAAGUACAAAUGCACAUUUGUACAUUCUGCAUGCAUGUAUAUGGAAAUCGGAAUGACACCUUGGAUGUCAUCCCUUGGGAAUCUUGUCCAUCAGGCUUUUUGCCUGAAGCCUACCAAUUGUCCUAGAUUGGCUAACAACUAUGUACCAAGAAUCCACGUGUCCCCACCUCCCCAGUACUGGCAUUAUAAGGUGUCCCACCAUGCCCAGCAAUUGUAUAUGGGUUAGUGGGGGUUGGAGGUGUAUAACUCAGGAUCUCUCAUUUGAGAGUCAAACAUUUUUCCAAGCCCCAUUCUUAAUUAUUUUUAAGAUUAGUCUCCAGAUAGCUGAUGCUAACUCUAUUAUAGAUACUAACUAGUGAGGGUUGUUUUGUUUUGUUUUGAAAGACAGAGCCAGAAAUAUGCUAUGUAAGACUGGCCUUAACUCAAGGAGAUCUUCCUACCUUUGCCUCCCUAGUGCUGGGAUUAAAGGUAUGGGCUGCUAUGCCUAGCCUAGUACAAUUUUUUAUGACAGGUGCAACAGAACCAGUACACUUUACUGGGAUGACCCAACAGCAUUACAGGCAUCUGCUUUUGCCUUAUAAUGAAGUCGCAGUCUCACAUUAGAGUUACAUUGUUAAGGAGUAUUAAGUAGAACUCUAAUGAACAUUACCUAGAUUGAACAUUUAAACAACACAGCAUUCUGUAAACAUCCUGUGCAUUGAGUCUAGCUCUCCAAUGCUGAGUCUCACCCUUCCUCCUGAAAAUACUGUGUUUUUAGGAGUCUGUAUCUUUUGAGGAUGUGGCUGUGAACUUCACUGCGGAGGAGUGGGCUUUGCUGAAUUCUUCCCAAAAGAGGCUACACAGAGAUGUGAUGCAGGAAACCUUCAGGAAUUUGGCUGCCAUAGGUAAGGGUAAGAUCACUGCCUUGUUUAGUCCAUG
rnacentral:lncRNA from 1 species